UCAAACUUGGUCAUUUAGAGGAAGUAAAAGUCGUAACAAGGUUUCCGUAGGUGAACCUGCGGAAGGAUCAUUAUCGUACAACGGAGGUGCCCAAGGGGCUGUCGCUGACCCUCGAAAGGUCGUGCACGCUCGAGCACUCUCUCUCACACAUCCAUCUCACCCCUUUGUGCAUCACCGCGUGGGUCCCUUCAAAAGGGGGGGCCUGCGUUUUCCCAUAAAAACCGGAUGCAGUGUAGAAUGCCUUUUACUUUUUGCGGUCGUACGCAAUCAAUACAACUUUCAACAACGGAUCUCUUGGCUCUCGCAUCGAUGAAGAACGCAGC
rnacentral:misc_RNA from 1 species